AAGACUUCAGGACCAAGGGCCUCUCCUCUCUCUUGCCCUCUUCCCACCUCAGUUCUGAAAAAAAGAGGUUUCCCUUCAGCCAGUGGGUAAAUGCAUAGUGGGGGACCCAGUUCUGCUGGUGGGUAAAUGAAAUAUUUAGUCUGUGAGCUGAAGGGAAUCUUUUAUCUUUUGUCCGAAGUUCAGAAGCUGGGGCCUUCAAGCAGAAACUAAAUUACAGCAGAAGCUCUCCAGGGGGAACUGAGAGACAGCGAAUUCUGGAAAUGCCAAGUAAGCCUGGCAAUUGCAAGAGAAAUAACCCUGGAUUUCCCCCUCUCCUGCCCUUCAAUUCUGGAGGAAGAAUCAAAACAAAGACCUUAAAGCCACACAAUCUCAGAGCCAGAAUGUGCAACAAGAAGUGUGAAGGAAUCAAAACUCUCCAGGAGCAGCCCUCAACCAGAGACGGACUGGAGUUGGUGUGUGAUAUGGUUUGGCUGUGUCCCCACCCAAAUCUCAUCUUGAAUUGUAGUUCCCAUAAUUCCCAUGUGUUGUGGGAGGGACCCAGUGGGAGGUAAUUCAAUCAUUGGGGUGGGUCUUUCCCAUGCUGUUCUCGUGAUUGUGCAUAAGUCUCAUGAGAUCUGAUGGUUUUAUAAAGGUAAGUUCCCCUGCACAACUUCUCUGUCUUGCCUGCUGCCAUAUAAGAUGUGGCUUUCGCCUUUUGCCACCCCUAUGCCAAGAUUGUGAGGCCUCCCCAGCCAGAUGGAACUGUAAGUCCAUUAAACCUCUUUUUCUUUAUAAAUUACCCAGUCUCAGGUAUGUCUUUAUCAGCAUCAUGAAAACAGACUGAUAACACUGUGUAAAUACCCCGGCUCUCCCACACCACCCUUUGGGUGGGAUGACACUGAGGCCCUUGUUCUGAGGGCUGCCAAAGUUCCCCUGCAGCAUGAAGCUUCUAUUCACCAUGGGAACUGGCUCCACAAAACAUCCUUUAUCCCCUGCUUUCCUUCCUGAUCUCAUUCCCACGCCUUCCAGGAAACAGGAAUCUUUGUCUCAGUAAAUGCUCAUGGGGAACCCAAACUAAGACACAGUCAACUUGUAAAUUUCCAAGCAAGGGCUAUAGUCCAAGCCCUUUCCAAAACUUAUUUGACUGAGAAACUCUUUUCUCACAGUUCACCUGGAGGGACUAGGGUUCUGGAGGACACGCUUAGGGAAGCUCCGUUCUGGCCCUGGGCAGGAUGCAGACCUGUCAUGGAGUUCCUGAGGGGAGAAGUCAAGGACAGCAUGAUAGCAUGGAUGAUCAGGGUGUGAAGCAAGAAAGACAUUGAGUGGGAAUAUCCAGCCACCCAGAAACACCUGGAGUUGAGACUCCCCAGGGGCGGAGUCCUCUCAGAGACAGUCUGAGAGGAAGUGGCUGAUGUGGGCAUUGAAUACGUUCAUCUGCUGCUACGGAUUUGGGGUCUUGUUCUCACACUUCAAGUGCAGUGUGUGGAUUAGACUAAUUCGGAGUGGAUUCAUGCUUCACAAAAAAAUCAUACUGUAGCUGCCUGUGCGAGAAUUAACCCACCUGCUCUGCUUCUACCUGUAAGGAAAUGGUACCAAUUUCCUCAAGCUGCAAGACUGAGAGACAGAGACACCCCAGGAUUGGGCAAUUAUGUUAGGAAAUUCAACAUUCGAGAUGAAUGGAAAAUGGCUGGGGACUUUUUCUCAACAACUUGGCUCGAACAGGAUUGAUUCCAGGACUGAGAAGUAUUCAAGUGACUCAGUGCCUGCAGUGAUAUAAAAUAGGAUCAUUUGGUAGCUGGAAAAUCUAAGGUGUGCCCUAUCAUCAAAGCACCGGCAUUUAAUAAAGUUGAUUAAGGAUGUUGAAGCAGCAAGGAGGGAAACCAACCAUGGAACACCGGGUCAACCCUGCAUUAGGAGUCCGGAACAUCACAGAGACACAGGGAGAUGUCUUCUAAAUUUCUGCAUGGACCAGGAGACUUUUUCUUGCCUCUAGAAGGACAUGGAAUGUUCUUUCUGGAACACCCCCCAGCACUGGCUCAGGACAUCUCUGUGAGGGUUCUUAGAGGACUCAGGGAAUGCUGUCUGCACCUGCACACACAGGUGUGUGGGUUUCCUCUGGGCAUUGGCUGCAUGUUAGGCAUUUGGUAUUCUGUCCUAUACAUGAUGGGAUAAAGUGUUUAAGAGAUAAAUGUUCCAAGACCUUCCUGAUCUACCCAUGAAUAAACAACCUGACUGGGACUGCCCUCUACCCCCUGAGAAGGGCACUGCUUGGCAGACCAGCUGCUUAUACUCAGAAUCUGGAGAAAGGAGGAGGGAGGAAAGUGCAAAAGGCCUGGGGAGUAUGGCUUGGAAAAUGAAGUUUUUCAAGGUAGUUGGGGGAAAAAAUAAGUUCAGAGCCACAGUGGUAUGAGAACGAAAUAGAUGAAAGAGAAAAUGGGAGUGUGUUCAGAAUGGCUGACAUUGGCAGGGCAUGGUGACUCAUGUCUGUAAUCCAAGUGUUUUGGGAGGCCAAGGCAGGAGGAUUGCUUGAGGCCAAAAGUUUGAGACCAGCCUGAGCAAGAUAGUGAGACCUCACCCGUACAAAAUAUAAAAAAUAUUAGCCAGGUGUGGUGGUGUGCAUGUAGUUCCAGCUACUGGGGAGGCUGAGGUGGGAGGAUUGCUUGAACCAAGGAAUUUGAGGCUGCAGUGAGCUAUGAUCACGACACUGCACUCCAGCCCGGACAACUGAGCAAGACCCUGUCUUUAAAAAAUAGAAUGGCUGAGGUCUAUAUGUGUCCUUCUUGGUGUUUGAAAAAUAUUAGUCCAGGACAGAAGUGCUUGCUUUGAAAUUACUCUUGAUUGCUGGACUGGACUUUCUUGACCUCAAAUACACCGUGGGAUUGGGUAUUGUGAGUCAUGGCUUAAAGUACUACUGAGAUGUACGUCCAGACCCUGAGCCUUUUUUUUUUUUUUUUUUGAGACGGAGUCUCGCUGUCGCCCAG
rnacentral:lncRNA from 10 species